AGAGAAAUCAUAAACAGUUCACAAACGCUCUUCACUUAUUCAGAGAGCGAGAGAGAGGGUUCGAUUAUAAUGGCGAUGCGGGAGAGAGGGUUCGAUUAUAAUGGCGAUGCGGGAGAGAGGGUUCGAUUAUAAUGGCGACGAGAGAGAGAGAGAGAGAGCAAACAGACAUGAAGAAGUCAGAGAGGAGGUAUCGUUUCGUGUUUCCUUCUUAAAUGGUUAAACCCUAAGGUCCGUGUUCGUGUUCCAACCAGGAAGAGCGAGACAGAGCGAGCGAGAGAGCGAGAGAGAGCGAACGGACUGAAGAAGUCAGAGGAGGUGUUGUGUCGUGUUCCAACCUGAAGGACAAUGACUUAGAUUCAGAACAAUUAAAGGGUCGCCGGCGUGUUCUUACAGUAUCAAACUGGUCGAUUAAAAAGGUACUCAAACUGGUCGAUUUAAAAGGUGAAACAGGUGUCGUUGUGUUCGUGUUCCAAUCAGGAUGGACGAUGAUUUAUUCGACUCAGAUUUUUCGUUGUCAGUCGUCGGCGUUCUAACACUAAGAGCUUUUUCUCAAAAAAUUUCACAAUCAUAUCAGAGAAUGAGAGUUUAGAGGUUCUCGGACUCGUUGGAGCCCAAGGUCAAUUCUAAUAAGAAGGGAUCUUUCUAUGAUUAUCUUCUUCUUCUUAGUCCUGAUAACUUCCCCUAAAGAUCUUCUUGGAGAUACUCGAAGACCUCGGCCUGUGAAGAGAGCUAAAUGGAUGGAGUCAAGAAGCAGGUUUCUUGAAAAGCUUGAAGCUAAAGUAUACGAUCGGAGAUAUGGUAUGGGUUUGAAGAUUGAAGAAGAUUCAGAACCAAAAAGGUUUAUGUUUCGUUUUGCAGGUUUGCAUAAAUUGGAUGUGGUUGAAAAAUGCUUGAAGCUAAGUUUAAGGUCUGAGUGAUGAGUUAAGAUAUGCGUACUAAAGAAUUAUUUUAUUGUUGGGACUUCAUUGAUGUGAGAUUCCAAACAUAGCUGUUACCUCUACCUAUCUGAUUCACGAGUAUCAAGCCAUUUAUAUGGUGCAAGACGAUGUCCUUUUGAAAGUGAGGAUGGGAUGACCUUGUUGUUUCCAUGGCGGGAAACUAGUGAACAUAGCACAGCUAGCUACUAGCUCGACGGCUCUACCAAUCUGAAGAAUUAGGGAUGAUGCCUGCACUGGAAUAAAUCCUCUUCUUUCACCAUCUGUUGUCCUUUUGCAAGUGAGGAUGGGAGGACCUUGUUGUUUCCAUGGCGUAUUUAUUGUCGUAUUUCUCAGUCGCCGGCGUUCUAACAGUAACUCACUAAGAGCGUUUUCUCAAAGUUUUACACAAUCAUAUCAGAGCACGAUACUCGUUGAAGCCGAAGAUCAAGUCUAAUAAGAAGGGACCUUUCUAUGAUUCUCUUCUUCGUCUUAGACCUGAUAACUUCCCUAAAGAUCUUCUUGGAGAUACUCGAAGAGCACGACCUGUGAAGAGAGCUCAAUGGAUGGAGUCAAGCAGGUUUGCAUAAAUUGAAUGUGUUUGAAAAGCUUGAAGCUAAGUAUAAGAUUGGAGAUAUGCUAUGGGUUUGAAGAAUGAUGAAGAUUCAGAACCAAAAGGAUACUCGAAGAACAUGGCCUGUGAAUGGAGUCAAGAAGCAGGACGGUAAUGUGUGGCUUGGUUGAGCUGUCAUGAUGUGUCUCUGGAGAUUUAGCACUUUGAGCCCAGUUGAUCUUUAUCUAUCCUCGUCUUCUUAGCUUCUAUCAUGUUGUUAGUCGAAGCUUUUCAAAAUGCCAGUGACAAGAGACUGCUUCAGCCCCCAGUAAUCAGCUUCGUGCUAGUUCUAGUUCUGACAUGACUAGUGAUCAUGGUGUUGCGAGGAACUACUGAAAUCUUUUGGUAGAGAGAAGUAGCUCAAUCGUCGACGCCAAGACUCCAUUGAUGCAAGCAAGUCAGACCACAUCAAACCAACAAAAAAAUUUGAGACUGAGCUUUUUACUUACAAUCACUCAAUACAUUCGCUUCAAUUCCCCAUCCAUAUAUGAGACUGAGUUUUUUUUGGUUUUGUUUUUCCUGCUUGUGCUUCUCUAGAUGAUGGAGAUAUUAUUAAGGAUGAUGCUGAGUCGUGGACACAAAUGAUGGUAAAAUCCUCUUCACUUACCGAAGUGGAACUCGCCGACAAGGCACCAAAAUUCAGACAAAACCCUUGAUUUUACUGAGCCAAAUGGAGUCCAGAAGCAGGUUUGAAUGGAAAGCUUGAAGCUAAAUGGGUGAUAUGCUAUGGGUUUGAAAAAUCAAGAAGAUUCAGAACCAAAAAGGUAACAACAUCAAAGUAAUAUAUCUUGAAGAAUUAGAGGGAGAAGAAUCUGAUUAUGGAGAUUAUGAUCAAUUGAUCAGAAUCAAGACUUCGAUGAUGAUGACGACGAUGUUGAAGAUGUCUGUUAAGCUCCUUACACAAAUUAAGUUCUUCACUCCAUAGCUCCAGUUUAUGCCUGCACCACAAAGAAGUUCACCACAUCUGCCAGAAUUCAAGGAAUUUCAUCUUCAAACAAGAGACAUCUCCAAUAGCAUCAACGAAAGUUUCUUAAGUGGAGAAUCCAAAUGUGGGACUCCGUGAUUACUUUGAGAGUUAUGAAAAGGCUGUUGAGAAAGCGUUGUUUCCACCUGGUAUUUAUAUUUUAGAGGUGUGUGUGUUCAUGUGUCCCAACAAGGACAAUGAUUAAUUGACUCAGAUUUUUUCAAGGAUGAAGUAGAUUCAUAACAAAAACGGUAGCCGGCUUUCUUACAGUAACAACAUGAAACUGAUCAAAAGGUGUGUGUUGCAGCUUCGCGCAGCUCUUGAAGUAUUUGUCAAUUCAUGACCGAUCACAGUAUUACACUAUUACCACAGGGAUCAAUGUUGUGGAGGAAAAGAGUCACAACAAUGGCUUCAGAGUAUCCUGAGGUUGAAGUGAGUCAUCUGUUGAUUGACACCGCUGCGAUGGAUCUUGUUCAGCACCCAUGACAGAUCUCGCAGCCGGAGGUUGUCUCAAUUGCCAAAAAUGUGCUUCAGCAAGCUGGAUCUUUGGAAGGAAUGGAAUUUAGCUUCCCGGGGAUGCCCAUUGAAAGAGCUGCUUUGGGAGUUCCCUUUCCGGAUCGCUGCAAAAGAAUGUGCUUUUUGGAUCCAUUGGAAGCUUCGUGCAGGUCUUGAACUCAUUACAAAUCUGAGACCUGCUAUAGUUCUGCCCUAGUCCACUGUUAGUGGAUGCUUUCGCCUUAAAGAGAGAGGUAGCAGAAGGUGUUGAUCUAAUGGUUGUAAAUGAGCUUACAUGAGGAUGAGGUUUUUGUUCUGGGGAGCCAAGGGCAUAAAGACCAAUGAAAAUGGCGAAGAAUUUGGGUUUAGUACUGAAAAGACCCACGGGGUGCUUGAUUGAAAAUCUCAGAUGACUUGGACUAAUAUUUUUAAGCAUUUCUUAUGUUCCGCAGAUUGAUUCGUUGCUCUUAUUGCCUUCAAGACUGCUCGGAAACGCAUAUAACACUGAUAUCAAAGCUAAUGUCUUGGAAGUAAGGCCACAAUAUUAUGGAUGAAAUGAGUAACAGCUCUAGCCUCUGAAUAUCCUGAUGUUGAGCUGUCACAUAUGUAUGUUGUCAAUGCUACGAUGCAGCUUGUUCGUGACUCCAAACAGUUUGACACCUUUGGGACAAACAACAUUUUUGGUGAUAUAUUGUCCGAUGAAGCUUCAAUGAUUACAGGAAGGAUAACAACAUUUUUGGUGAUAUAUUGUCCGAUGAAGCUUCAAUGAUUACAGGAAGGAUAACAACAUUUUUGGUGAUAUGUUAUCCGAUGAAGCUUCAAUGAUUACAGGAAGGAUAACAAUGCUGACUAGUCUCAGUGAUUCGGUGAAUAGAAAACAAUCUGAUCUUUGAGUAUGCAGAAGUACGAUCUUUGCUGAACAUACAUAAACCCGCCAUGUUUAAUGCAGGGACCUGGUCAACUUCUUGAUUCUUUGAAUUUCCAGGAUAAGGCAAACCAAUUGGCAACCAUUCUCAGCGCUGCAAUGCUUCUGAAAUACAGACUUGGAGAAGAAAGGCAGCCAAGAGGAUUGAAGAUAUAGUGUUGGUUGCUCUGAACACUGAGUCAAGAAUCAGGUUUGCAUAAGUUGGAUGUGUCUGAAAAGCUUGAAGCUAAGUAUAAAGUGUAUAUAGCUGAGGCUAUAAAAUUUGGGUGAAAUCGAAGACUAUUGUUGGCCAUCAAAUAUACAUUAGGAACCAAGUGAAGAGCCGAGAUGCUUGUUCUGUUGACUGGUGGACUCGAGUCUACUUGCAGAGCAAACUCAAAGGUCAAGAUUGUACAUGAUGAGCUAGUGAAAUUGAUUGGUGGAGGAGAAGUAAUUGGUACUCUCUGAUCUAAAGAGGAAGCAAAGAAGACGAGUCCCUGGAGAAGUCCUCUUCCGAUACAAUCAAAUUUGAUAGGUAUUUUUGGUGAAGAUUGCAAAACCAUCGAGACUUGUAUGUAUGAAGCCAAAACUAAGGUGUCUGCCACUGUUCUUAAUCACACGUUCUUGCUUCCUCAAUUCAGAUUCUCUCUCUCCUCCACGCCAGACGAGAGCUAUGGAGUUGGGUGAAAUCGAAGACUGUUGGUCAUGGAAGAUUCAUUACAGAAGGAUCCAAGUGAAGAGCCGAGAUGUUUGUUCAGUUGACUGGUGGACUCGAGAAGGCUGCUUGCAGAUCAAACUCAAAGGCCAAGCUUGUUACCCAAAGAAGCAGCAGGGAAAGUAUUCAAUUCUUAUUGCUGAACCACCAACCUUCAGAUAUCGCUAAAGCAAGGUCUAAAAGAAGCGAAAAGGAGUAAUCUAGAUAUUAUGGAUUCUGCAGGGAGGCUUCAGAUAGAUAAAGCCAAUGAUGGACGAAUUAAAAGACGUGCAGAAAUUUCUGUACCCCACAGAAGUGUUACUAGUUGUUGAUACCAUUACUGGACAAGAAGCUGCAGCUCUGGUGACAACAUUCAAUAUAUAGGAAUCACAGGAGCCAUUGUGGCAAAGCUAGAUGGUAUUUCAAGAGGUGGUUUUGAGCGUCAAUGAGGUAUAGGGAAAACCGAUUAAAGGAACGAAUCACACUUUUACCACUAAAAUAAACUGGUAGGACGUGGAGAGCGGAUGGAGGAUCUUGAACCCUUUUAUCAAGAUCGAAUGGCUGGGCGAAUUCUAGGAAAAGGGGUUAUGUGCUUUCAUUUGUAGAGAAGGCAACAGAAGUUAUGCGUCAAGAAGAUGCUGAAGAUCUACAGAAGAAGAUAAUGAGUGCAAAGUUCUGACUUCCAGUUAGACGAGUUGUAAUUCAGCUUCUCUCUACUGUCUCCCUCCACGCGAGACGAUAGCUAUGGAGUUGGGUGAAAUCGAAAACUUGAUGGCCAUGGAAGAUACACAUAACACUAGGAGCCAAGUGAAGAGUUUUUUCGUUGACUGGUGAACUCGAGGAGGCUGCAGGCUGCUUGCAGAUCAAACUCAAAGGCUAAGAUUGUACAUGAUGAGCUUGUGAAAUUGAUGUAUGGAGGAGAAGUAUCACUUUGCUAGCUUCAGGAGGAGUCUUGCAUGCUGAUUGCUGGAGAUGUAUACCGACCUGCUGCCAUCUAUCAACUUCUCAUUUUAGCUGAACAGAUAUUGAAAUUUUUACUUUUGAAGCAUUAUGUGCAUUCGUAGAAAUGGCUUAUUGAAGUGUGGCAUUACUUCAGAACGUUAUGUUGGCAGGGAUCGAUAUAUAUAUGCCAUCUCCAUUAAUUUAGAAAAGGUAACAUUUAUCCUCAUUAGUGAUUGGUACUAAAGCGAUCAGUAUUAUGUUUGCAGGAAAUGAACGAGAUUGAUGGCUAUGGACAGACUCAAAUCGAUCUUAAGGAGAUUGUGGAGAUUUUUCAAGAAAAAACUCAUGCGAAAUACAAGUGGUUUGAUCAGGAGACUCCCCGCCGCUGGUUUUUGAAGCAAUGAUUCCCCGUUCCGACCUUUUUAACAAAGAGAGUGGGUUUCUAGUUAAUGGAGAAGUCAAGAUUGUAGUCACAGUAGCUAUUUUUAAAAGUUGUUGGCAAAGCAGCUGUUGUAUUAGUGGAAUCUGAAGAUGAGUCUAUAGAGAAAGCAAGGCCUUUUAAAUGGCUCAUUUUCAAGUCUACGAAACAGAUCGUUACUGUUCAUCAAUGAGAACAACAAUCUUGAUAUUCUCAAGUUUCACUAGUAGAGCCAUUGAAGUUGUGUGGUUAUUUCAUAGCUUGUAGAUACAUAUUCAUGUCAGUAGCCAGUUAAAGCCAAGGAUACACACUAUGCUUUCAAGUCACAAUGCACUCAAGUUUAGACUUUCUUAAAUGGGCCAACAAAAUUGUAAAUUGGGUCGAAGUCUAAAGUGAAACCCAUAUAAUGGACAGAACGGAGAGGCGGCGGGGGGUGUGCGGUUGUUAGUGCCACUCAGGUAGGUCCUACUUCUAGGGUUUCACGCCCUCUACAAGUUUGAGGUAGUUUGAUUGCGGAGGAGGCUUCAACUUCAAUGGGGACUCUAGGCGAUAACAAGUUCACAUGGGUGAUACCAAACUUCUCCUCUCUGCAAUCUAGGGCCGUUUAUUCUGAUCAAUUCGUUAUGGGUGGCUGCAGAUGGUAUGAUGAUGAACUAUAUGUAUCAUCUUCUAAUGCUUUUCGUUCGAUUUGGUUUUUUUUUUUUUUUUUGCCUUUGUUUUGGUACGGUUCGUAUUCUUUUUUUGUUUUUCAAUGCAGGCGUCUUCUUGUCCAUCCUGAGGGAUUCAAUAAGUCUUGUCAUUUAUCUCUGUUUCUGGAUGUGGCUGACAAUAAAUCACUGCCACCUGGAUGGAGAAUACGUGCACGUUAUCUCCGAAGUGUUGUUAAUCAACAUUCUGAGAAAACCUCCAAACGAAACGGUUCCGACCAAAGAACCCACAUCUGAGGAAAGCAUGCAUGACUUUCUUGCUCAGCCUAAUCGAGACAUUGUGCCAACCACCACAGAGGCUAUCCAAUGAAGAUUUGGUGGAAGCAGACAAUGCACUAACAUACGUGAAAGUUUCGGGGUUUAAGGUGGAUUGGUUGGAGAAGAAUAGAUUUCCUUAUGAGGGACUCACUAAGUGUUUUCUAAACCAAGUAUCAACUAACUUGUCUUCUUUCAAGACUAUGUGAAUAGAUUUCUACUUGUUCCUGAGGCGAUAUAAAAGCCCAACUAAGUCCAUUGUGAUGCUGAAGCUUUACUAAAUG